rnacentral:rRNA from 1 species
UGGGGGAUAUUGCACAAUGGGGGGAACCCUGAUGCAGCGACGCCGCGUGAGUGAAGAAGUAUUUCGGUAUGUAAAGCUCUAUCAGCAGGGAAAAAGAAGGAUGGUACCUGACUAAGAAGCCCCGGCUAACUACGUGCCAGCAGCCGCGGUAAUACGUAGGGGGCAAGCGUUAUCCGGAUUUACUGGGUGUAAAGGGAGCGUAGACGGCGCUUCAAGUCUGGAGUGAAAGCCCGGGGCCCAACCCCGGGACUGCUCUGGAAACUGAGGGGGCUGGAGUGCGGGAGGGGCAGGCGGAAUUCCUGGUGUAGCGGUGAAAUGCUUAGAUAUCAGGAGGAACACCGGCGGCGAAGGCGGCCUGCUGGACCGUGACUGACGUUGAGGCUCGAAAGCGUGGGGAGCAAACAGG